rnacentral:tRNA from 1 species
GGGGGUAUAGCUCAGUGGUAGAGUGUGCUAUUAGCAUGCAUGAGGUCCUGGGUUCAACCCCCAGUACUUUCG